UCCAAAAUACUUACCAUGUGAUUUCUUCAUUAUAUAUGUGUGAUAUUACAAACAGUUCUCCAGUGCCUUCCUGUGGGAAACAAGAAUUAUACAAAACAGCUGAAAAGUAUUGUUUGAUUUUAUGAUGGUUGAAGCAAGAAAAUGACUAAGUCAGACCCCACCUGGCCCCAGAGGCUCUUGGGGCAUCCUUGAGUCAUCCCUGUGCAGUAGGGUGCAGUCUAGUGUGGCACCCAGGCUUUGCUGUCCUUGGGUAACUUUUUAUAUUAUGCUUCCUCAUCCGUGGCCUGGGGUCUGCUAGUGCCCUCUCAGGACAGUGAUGAUGAGAAGUGAGAUAGUGGAAGAAAGUGCUUAGCACAGAAGGAGCCAUCCUUAUUCCAAUCAUCCUCCCCCUCUCCAUCAUUCCCCUUCCUAUAAAGCCCCUUCCUGAAACUGGCAGAAUGACAGAGGAACUUGGGUGAGAGAUGAAACUAGGCCUGAGGAGCCGUGAGAACCGACUUGGAAUGGGGACCUCUCUGGCCAAGACUACACCCCUGAGGCCCAGGCCUGUGUAAGAGGUGCCCUAAUUCUACUGCAAGAGGAAAUCCCAGAUCCCUGAGGGAUCACAGCCCAGGGGCAGCAUUUCCUUCAGUCCCUGUUCUGGAGGAGAGACAGCUUCAGAGGUCACUCAAAUGAGCAGCAGUACUCUCAUGGGUGAGAGUCUUGCCAGGAAAACCUCUCCUUUCGUUGUUCUUUGGGGUCUGUGUGAGAGUCAGUUGUGAUAGACACGGGCCUUGUCCAAGUGAUGUGUUACCCACCCAACGUUUAACCAUAAGAGCUAAGGAAGUCUGAAAUUGAGUCUUGUUUUUAGUUUAAUUAUUUUUAAAAUAAUGAACUAAACUUCUUAUUUCUUGCACAGCACAGUCAUCUCAGUUCAUUCAUUCAACAUGUGUGUGUGUGUAUGUGUGUGUGUGUGUGUGUGUCCUCCAUGUGAGUCAGCUUAGCACUGAACAUUCAGAAGGGAGCAAAGCCCACAGAAUCUCUGCCUUCAAGGCCCACAUGGUUCAGUGGAGCAAACAAGCAAUUAAUCAAGAGGACACAAAGUCGGGGGAAGGGACAUUCAGGCUGGGGCAGCAGCAACAGCAGCACAAAAUCUUGACUAAGGUGUCAGGAAAGUUUACACUAACCACAAAGGGCUCUGCCCCUGCCGUGGUCCAUCAGGGAAGCCUCCCCAGGGCCCAGCUUCCCUGCACACGUCAGGCAACCACUCGAGUCAGGUGACUGGGCAGCGGACAGUAUUCCUUCCAUGUUCAGCCCCUGAAGGGAGCCGGGAAACUUCCUUCCUCCUUCACCUCCAAAUUCUCACAAAGAUGACCAAGGGUUUUUGAGACAUAAUCUCUAGGGAACAAAGAGAAUAAUGACAAAUAUGAAAUAAAGUGGAAGAAGAGUAAGGUGUCAUGACUCACUGGGCCAUGUCCACACAUGGUGCUGAGAAUAAGCCACACAUGUCCAUCAAGCAUGGUGCUAAGAAUCUUUACAUGUAUAUAUUUCACUGUGUCAUUUAUUUCUCAUGACAAUUCCUUGAGGUUGGUAUAAUUGCUAUGUCAGUAAGAAAAGAAAUGAAAUAAAGAGUUCAUAAACCUACCUGAUGGCAGGUCUAGGAUUUGAACCCAAGAAACUAUAAUUGGUCAUUUGGUCAUUUCUUAUUAAGGGUAAUUAUUUUCCUUUUUCUUUUCCAGGAGUGAGAGACACUAUUAUUCCCAGAAAAGAGACUUUGGGUGGAAUAGAGAAGGAGAUCCUUGAGAAAAAGGAAGAGCAACCAGGGAUGCACAUGCACAGAAGGAUAGCUUUGUGAGGACACCAGGAGAAAGCAACUGCAUGUGCACCAGAGAAAGACCUCAGGGGACACCAACCCUGCUGCCACCUCUGUCUUGGACUUCCGAUUUCCAGAAAUGUGAGGAAAUAAAUUUCUGUUAUUUAAGCCA